rnacentral:rRNA from 1 species
UCUACGGGACGCAGCAGUAGGGAAUCUUCCACAAUGGACGAAAGUCUGAUGGAGCAACGCCGCGUGAGUGAAGAAGGUUUUCGGAUCGUAAAACUCUGUUGUAAGGGAAGAACACGUACGAGAGUAACUGCUCGUACCUUGACGGUACCUUAUUAGAAAGCCACGGCUAACUACGUGCCAGCAGCCGCGGUAAUA